UACGUAAGUGACAAGCGUUAUUCGGAUUUACUGGGCGUAAAGGGAGUGUAGGCGGAUAAUUAAGUCGGGGGUGAAAGACCCGGGCUCAACCUGGGUGCUGCAUUCGAUACUGAUUAUCUAGAGUGCGGGAGAGGAGAGUGGAAUUCCUAGUGUAGAGGUGAAAUGCGUAGAUAUUAGGAAGAACACCAGUGGCGAAGGCGGCUCUCUGGACCGUAACUGACGCUGAGGCUCGAAAGCGUGGGGAGCAAACAGG
rnacentral:rRNA from 1 species